GGAAUUUCUCCUCACUGCUUGGCAUCCUUUCUGCUCUGCAGAGCCCCUCGAUUCACCAUCUGAAGAAGAUAUGGGGACAGGUUUCCAGGAAGAAUUCCCCCAAAUUUAAGAAGUGGUACACCAAAGACCAGUGGGUGAGCAGGAAGCUGUUCAUCAAGGAAGAUGGAGGCUGGAGAUCUGGAAGGAGGUGACCUCCAUGUUGGCCACCCUGCAGAUGGACCCCCCAGGGAGCCCAGGAGAGGCAGCAGCAGCAGCUGCUGGAACACGUGAUGGAGGAUUAUCUGGAG